GACGAACGCUGGCGGCGUGCCUAAUACAUGCAAGUAGAACGCUGAAGGAGGAGCUUGCUUCUCUGGAUGAGUUGCGAACGGGUGAGUAACGCGUAGGUAACCUGCCUGGUAGCGGGGGAUAACUAUUGGAAACGAUAGCUAAUACCGCAUAACAGUAGAUAUCGCAUGAUAGCUGCUUGAAAGGUGCAAUUGCACCACUACCAGAUGGACCUGCGUUGUAUUAGCUAGUUGGUGAGGUAACGGCUCACCAAGGCGACGAUACAUAGCCGACCUGAGAGGGUGAUCGGCCACACUGGGACUGAGACACGGCCCAGACUCCUACGGGAGGCAGCAGUAGGGAAUCUUCGGCAAUGGACGGAAGUCUGACCGAGCAACGCCGCGUGAGUGAAGAAGGUUUUCGGAUCGUAAAGCUCUGUUGUAAGAGAAGAACGAGUGUGAGAGUGGAAAGUUCACACUG
rnacentral:rRNA from 1 species